GUCUCUGGUGUCUAAAAAUUUAA
rnacentral:snRNA from 1 species